CUACGGGUUGCUGCAGUGAGGAAUCUUGCGCAAUGGGGGAAACCCUGACGCAGCGACGCCGCGUGGGUGAUGAAGGCCUUCGGGUCGUAAAGCCCUGUCGAGAGGGAAGAAUUGCAUUUAGGUUAAUAGCCUAAUUGUUUGACGGCACCUCCAAAGGAAGCACCGGCUAACUCCGUGCCAGCAGCCGCGGUAAUACGGAGGGUGCAAGCGUUGUUCGGAAUCACUGGGCGUAAAGGGCGUGUAGGCGGCUGAGUAAGUCAGGUGUGAAAUCCCUCGGCUCAACCGAGGAAGUGCAUUUGAUACUGCUCAUCUUGAGUACUGGAGAGGGAGAUGGAAUUCCCGGUGUAGAGGUGAAAUUCGUAGAUAUCGGGAGGAACACCAGUGGCGAAGGCGAUCUCCUGGACAGAUACUGACGCUAAGGCGCGAAAGCGUGGGGAGCAAACAGGAUUAGAUACCCUAGUAGUC
rnacentral:rRNA from 1 species